rnacentral:rRNA from 1 species
CAAUAGCGUAUAUUAAAGUUGUUGCGGUAAAAAAGCUCGUAGUUGGAUUUCUGUUGAGGGUGACCGGUCCGCACCAUGUGCGCGCAUCUGGUUCAGCCUCGGCAUCUUUCCGGAAAACGGCUUCGCGCUUCAUUGCGUGGAACGGGGUUCGGAACUUUUACUUUGAGGAAAUUAGAGUGUUCACGGCAGGCUAUCGCCAGAAUACAUUAGCAUGGAAUAAUACUAUAGGAUCUCGAUUCUAUUUUGUUGGUUUCUAGAGUUGGGAUAAUGAUUAAUAGGGACAAUUGGGGGCAUUCGUAUCGACACGUCAGAGGUGGAAUUCUUGGAUUGUGUUGCGACGAACUACUGCGAAAGCAUUUGCCAAGGAUGUUUUCAUUGAUCAAGAACGAAAGUAAGGGGAUCGAAGACGAUCAGAUACCAU